rnacentral:rRNA from 1 species
CCCUAAGAUGUUCUGGGCCGCACGCGCGCUACACUGAUGCAUUCAACGAGUUUCUUCCUGGUCCGAGAGGAAUGGGUAACCUUUUGAAAGUGCAUCGUGAUAGGGAUAGACUAUUGCAAUUAUUGGUCUUCAACGAGGAAUUCCUAGUAGACGUAGUUCAUCAGACUGCAUCGAUUACGUCCCUGCCCUUUGUACACACCGCCCGUCGCUCCUACCGAUUGAAUGCUCAGGUGAGCCAUUCGGACUUUCAUCAUGCUGGUUUCCAGUUUUGAUGAAGGAAAGUCUUGCGAACCUUAUCAUUUAGAGGAAGGAGAAGUCGUAACA